GAAUUAAAUUCGAUUAAGCUUCUAACUUAAAAUUUAGCAAAAUAUUUGUUAUUAAUUCU
rnacentral:tRNA from 1 species